UCAAGUGACUAAGUGCAUGUGGCGGAUGCCUUGGCGAUCACAGGCGAAGAAAGACGCGGCAGCCUGCGAAAAGCUGCGGGGAGCUGGCAAACGAGCUUUGAUCCGCAGAUAUCUGAAUGGGGGAACCCACACCGCAAGGUGUAUCCGUGACUGAAUACAUAGGUUACGGAGGCGAACGAGGAGAACUGAAACAUCUAAGUAUCCUCAGGAAAAGAAAUCAACCGAGAUUCCGGCAGUAGCGGCGAGCGAACCCGGAGGAGCCUAGCUUUUGAUAGUACGAACUUUAGCCGAAAGGUCCUGGAAAGGCCUGCUAUAGUGGGUGAUAGCCCCGUAGGCGAAAGAGUUCGUAUGGUACUAAGGAAGCGAGAAGUAGAGCGGGACACGUGGAAUCCUGUUCGAAGAUGGGGGGACCAUCCUCCAAGGCUAAAUACUCGUGAUCGACCGAUAGUGAACCAGUACCGUGAGGGAAAGGCGAAAAGAACCCCGGGAGGGGAGUGAAAUAGAACCUGAAACCGCAUGCAUACAAACAGUAGGAGCCUCACCAGAGGUGACUGCGUACCUUUUGCAUAAUGGGUCAGCGACUUACAUUCUGUGGCGAGCUUAACCGAAUAGGGGAGGCGCAGCGAAAGCGAGUUCGAAAUGAGCGUCCAGUCGCAGGGUGUAGACCCGAAACCAGAUGAGCUAUCCAUGGCCAGGUUGAAGGUGUGGUAACACACACUGGAGGACCGAACCGACUAGUGUUGCAAAAUUAGCGGAUGAGCUGUGGAUAGGGGUGAAAGGCCAAACAAAUCUGGAGAUAGCUGGUUCUCCCCGAAAACUAUUGAGGUAGUGCCUCGUGUGUCGCUCCAGGGGGUAGAGCACUGUUUUGGCUAGGGGGACAUGGAGUCUUACCAAACCAAGGCAAACUCCGAAUACCUGGAAGCGUGAGCACGGGAGACAGAGCACCGGGUGCUAACGUCCGGACUCAAAAGGGAAACAACCCAGACCGCCGGCUAAGGUCCCCAAUAACAGCUAAGUGGAAAACGAAGUGGAAAGGCCGUGACAACCAGGAAGUUGGCUUAGAAGCAGCCAUCCUUCAAAGAAAGCGUAAUAGCUCACUGGUCGAGUCCUUCUGCGCGGAAGAUGUAACGGGGCUAAGCUGUUAACCGAAGCCGCGGAUGCACUGAUUAUUCAGUGCGUGGUAGGGGAGCGUUCUGUAAGUCUGCGAAGGCGGUUCGAGAGGACUGCUGGAGAUAUCAGAAGUGCGAAUGCUGACAUGAGUAACGUUAAAGCAGGUGAAAAGCCUGCUCGCCGUAAGCCCAAGGAUUCCUGCUCUACGUUCAUCGGAGCAGGGUGAGUCGGCUCCUAAGGUCAGGCCGAAAGGCGUAGCCGAUGGGAAUCAGGUUAAUAUUCCUGAACCUGCGUCAGAUGCGAUGGGGGGACGGAGCAUGAAAGAUCAUCCGGGUGUUGGAUGUCCCGGUUGACGAGCGUAGGAGGUCUGCAGGCAAAUCCGCAGACGCAUCUCCAAGGCGAAGUCACGUGCCGCCACGGCGGCGAAGUGAUCGGAAGUGCUUCCAAGAAAAGCCUCUAAGCACCAGUCUGACGCGGACCGUACCGCAAACCGACACUGGUGGGCGAGCUGAAUAUGCUCAGGCGCUUGAGAGAACUCGGGAGAAGGAACUCGGCAAAUUGACACCGUAACUUCGGAAGAAGGUGUGCCGUAGUACCGUGAGAGGAGAGACACCUUGAGCGGGAAUCGGUCUCAGAGAAUAGGUGGCUGCGACUGUUUAUUAAAAACACAGCACUCUGCAAAGUCGAAAGACGACGUAUAGGGUGUGAUGCCUGCCCGGUGCUGGAAGAUUAAUUGAUGGGGUGAGAGCCCUUGAUCGAAGUCCCAGUAAACGGCGGCCGUAACUAUAACGGUCCUAAGGUAGCGAAAUUCCUUGUC
rnacentral:rRNA from 1 species